rnacentral:rRNA from 1 species
UACAGAGGGGGCAAGCGUUGUUCGGAAUUACUGGGCGUAAAGGGCGCGUAGGCGGCCCGCUAAGUCGAACGUGAAAUCCCCGAGCUCAACUCGGGAACUGCGUCCGAUACUGGCGGGCUUGAAUCCGGGAGAGGGAUGCGGAAUUCCAGGUGUAGCGGUGAAAUGCGUAGAUAUCUGGAGGAACACCGGUGGCGAAGGCGGCAUCCUGGACCGGCAUUGACGCUGAGGUGCGAAAGCGUGGGGAGCAAACAGG